UACAGAGGGGGCAAGCGUUGUUCGGAAUUACUGGGCGUAAAGGGCGCGUAGGCGGCCUGCUAAGUCGAACGUGAAAUCCCUGGGCUCAACCCAGGAACUGCGUCCGAUACUGGUUGGCUUGAAUCCGGGAGAGGGACGUGGAAUUCCAGGUGUAGCGGUGAAAUGCGUAGAUAUUGGGAUGAACACCAGUGGCGAAGGCGGCUCACUGGACCGGUUCUGACGCUGAUGCGCGAAAGCGUGGGGAGCAAACGGG
rnacentral:rRNA from 1 species